AGCGCUCCAGUCACCUGGCGGCCGCCGGACCUCAGGCCCAGAGAGCCCAGCACCAGGUUCAGUUGCCAAGGGACACCUCCAAAGAGGACUGCAGAGCCACAGCUGGUCCGUGCGCGCCCCAGACUGCGCUCCUUCGCUCCUUGAGAAGUAACGGAGAGAGAGAGAGAGACUAAGAGAAAAAAAGAGAGGAAGAGAGAGAGACAGAGAGACAGGAAGAAGAGGGAAUCAUCUCAUCUUUACUAUCCUGGCCAGCAAACAAGUCUGUUCUUCGGGCUCUAGGGAGACAGUAUUUCUAGCUUCCAAGGAUUUUUGCCAAGAGAACAAUCUUGAAAAGUUGCGGCAAGCGGGAGCUACUCUUCGUACUACUCUUCGCGGGCUUUUCAUUGCGGUGGCUUCUCUUGUUGCGGACCACAGGCUGUAGGGAAAACUUCAAAAUCAGUCCGGCAGUGCUCCCAAAACUGCAAGAUCUCUCACCUUUUGGAGAGCUGAGACUGCAAGAUAAACCAGCUGAAUUCCAAUGAAUGGCAUACGGCUCUGAGAAGAGAUGAAUCUACAGAACGAUUUCAUUUCUGACAGAACAUUAGAGGAAGGUAUUGCUGUCAUCAAAGCAGCAUUUUUACUGCAUCCAUUGGAUGAAUGAAGAGAACUUCAAAGGCCUGCAGGAGAGACAAGAUAAAAGGAUCUUGGGGAGCAGAGAGCAUCCAUUGACCUACACUUCAAUGUCAAGUGAGAAACAAACUCUAUUUUGAGAAUGGUUCCUGCUCUUCUCUGAGAAUGGAAUGAAGGUUCAGUUCCAUUUGGACAACACAUACUAAGAAAAACUCUAUUGGGGAUUUUGUCAGUGAGAAAUGAAGAGGUAAACUGGAGCAAGCUCAAAUUACCAGAAAUUGAGUUUAUUUGAAAAUAGCAGAGGAACUGCAAUUCAGGAAACGUGCGCUGCAGCAACUUACAGAAUUUAAAUCUCAACAACCAGAUCAACUGGAAUCUAAGGGAUGAUGACGGUGACCUUUUCUGACCCUCAUGACUUCAAUCAACUAAAGCUUGAACUCUGUCAUCCAAGCCCCUUCAUGAAUAUGCAUGUACCAAUAGCUUAAACUUCCCCAGUUUCGCUGUUCAGAGAGAGACUUCUUUGGGAAAAAUCCCUGGUAUUCUCCUUACUUGCAGCAAGUAGUAAGUCCUUCUCCAGCAAUCUGGCUUGGUUGUGUCCUUUGGCGACACCACCAAUAGGCUAACCCAGUUUCCAGGUAACAUUUCUACAUGAUUGAGCCUAAUUUAUACUUAUUCAUAUUUUUCUAUAUACACAGCAUUUAUUAUAUAUACAUAGUAAAAUGUGAUACAUUGUAUAAGAGAAAAGGUUGGAGUAACAAGGAUUCCUAAGCUCGUUUGGGGAGAGAGUGAAGAAAACUUAGGAAUCAUCUGAGCUGGACUUUAAAGCUUUUUAAAGAAGGACCAUGUCUGUUCUCCACUCUCUAUGCAUAGGAAUUAUUCUGGUAUGGCAGAAGGAUGUGGAAGUGGAAAAAAGAAAUUGUUUGGAGUAGAAAUAAUAGAUAGACAUCCUUAAAGGAGGAGGAAGGACAGAUUAACAUUUACUUUUUUUGAGGCCCUAAAAUGUGCUAAAAAUGCUCUAUGAGUAGGAUUGAAGAUAAAUUCAAGGAAUGGUGGUUAGUUGGUAAGUAUGUCCACAGCUGGCAGCUUCACAGUUUUCAGUUACAUUCAAAAAGAGGUCAUUUACUUGGAAAGAACCAGGUAGCUGGCAACAUAAUUGGGCUACAGCUGAAGCCCUUAAACCUGUAAACUGCAAUUUGUAUGAAAUAAAUUCCCUUUGUUAUUUAA